ensembl:miRNA microRNA 196b
AGAACUGGUCGGUGAUUUAGGUAGUUUCAUGUUGUUGGGGCUGGAGCUCUCUCUCUCUCUGCAGCACGAAACUGCCUUAAUCACUUCAGUUUGUAAUCAU